rnacentral:rRNA from 1 species
AAAACCCUAGACGAGCUCCUCGCCUUGCUCGGCGCCGCCUCGGCCGACGAGGUGGCCAGGUUCGUGCGUGGCCUCGUCGCCGACCCGUCCGGCUCCGGCGGGCCGCUCAUCACCUAUGCCUACGGCUUGUUCCACCAGAAACACUUGAAGCUGACGCCGGCCUACCUCCACUCCGCCGCCGAGUCCUACAACGCUGAGAUACGCGCCGUCGACUUCGCCGAGGGUGAUACGGAGAAGAUCAGGCACGAGAUCAACGAUUGGGCGGCGGCCACAACGAACAAUCUCAUCACGGAGAUCCUGCCAGAGGGGUCAUUGACCGACCUCUCGAGGUUCGUGCUCACCAAUGCCAUCUACUUCAAGGGCGUGUGGGAGACCCAGUUCCCCAAGGACCUCACGGAGGACCACGAGUUCCAUCGCCUCGACGGAGCCGACCCCAUCGAAGUUCCGUUCAUGACCCUCGGGGCCGGAAAACGCAAGCUCUUCCUCUCCGAAGAAGAUGACUUCCAGGUGCUCAAGCUCCCGUACGAAGGCGAUGAGAGCCGCGGUAUGCAAUACUCAAUGUGUGUGUUUCUACCAUACGAGCGCGACGGGCUGCGCACAAUGGUAGACGCUCUGCCAGCAGCAGACGAGUCCCUGCUCGACUACAUCCCAGAUGACCGGAGUGAAGUCCGGAAGCUUCUUCUGCCCAAGUUCAAGCUGUCAUUCUUUUGCAGCCUCACCAAAGUCCUCAAAGGCUUGGGCCUCCGGGAGGCGUUCACCGAGGAGGCCGACCUGUCCGGUCUGGUGGAGAAGCGCGUCUGCGAUGUGCGCCUGGACGACGUGUUUCACAAGGCUGUGGUCGAGGUGAAUGAGGAGGGCACCGCGGCGGCGGGCUGCACCGCCGCGAGUGGGCGCGUGAAGCAGUGUGCGAGGAAGCCGAUGGAAUUCGUCGCCGAUCACCCGUUCGCGUUUUAUAUUGUG